AUGCUUAACACAUGCAAGUCGACUGGAAUUCUUCUUCGGAAGAUAGUACGGUGGCGGACGGGUGAGUAACGCGUAAAGAAUUUGCCCUUCAGACUGGGACAACUAAUCGAAAGGUUAGCUAAUACCGGAUAUUAUGAGACCUUGGCAUCAAGGACUUAUGAAAGCUAUAUGCGCUGGAGGAGAACUUUGCGUUCCAUUAGCUAGUUGGUAGGGUAAUGGCCUACCAAGGCGACGAUGGAUAGCCGGCCUGAGAGGGUGAACGGCCACAAGGGGACUGAGACACGGCCCUUACUCCUACGGGAGGCAGCAGUGGGGAAUAUUGGACAAUGGACCAAAAGUCUGAUCCAGCAAUUCUGUGUGCACGAUGAAGGUCUUCGGAUUGUAAAGUGCUUUCAGGUGGGAAGAAGAAAGUGACGGUACCACCAGAAGAAGCGACGGCUAAAUACGUGCCAGCAGCCGCGGUAAUACGUAUGUCGCAAGCGUUAUCCGGAAUUAUUGGGCGUAAAGCGAGUCUAGGCGGCUUGUUAAGU
rnacentral:rRNA from 1 species